UUUUGUGCUUCAUUGGUAUUUAUUGCACAUGGACAAAUUCCUCACAUAGUAGUUAGUUGCACCAGAGUAUAAAUACUUGGUAAAGCACACAGAGGAAAUAGUAUUUACACACAAGUGCUAAAUUUCACCAGCAGAUUCACGUGUGCCCUUGGACAUAAAAAAAUAAUAAAAAAAAUCCUUAAGAUAAUUUUUUAUAAUAUGGAUACAGUACCAUGAUAAAAGAGUAUAAAAAGGUAUUUUCCAAUAAAUUGCUAGCUCAAUAACAUAACAGACAACAGAGAUAGAAUCUGAAUUUUAUUUUAGUUUUUAAGAUCUGCCCCACCCCACUCCCAUUAAAAAAUAUUUCAUUUCUUUUUGUGCAAAUAACAUUUUCUGUGGACUUUACAGUUCCUAAUACUGUGCAAAAAAAAUGCCACUUUGAAUCACGGCUUUUUUGUUUUGAUUUUUUGUCUAUACCACAUGUGCAGUAAUCUGAAUUGUUUUCCUUUUUUCUUUUUCCUUUUUCUGUCCUGUCUUCAAUGGACAGAGUCACAUGUCACGAAGGCUCAGCGCCUGGUCCUUCCAACUAGUAUUGAUACAUAAAUAAGCUGUUUAAUAUAAACAAGUCUCUCUAUCUGGCCGUGCAAUGUGCACCGUGUGAGUGAGGUAGGAACCCCUCAGCCUGACCACCGAGGAGGCGUUCAGGGACAGCCCGCUUGCCCUCCGAAAGGGAAGCAAGGUGAGGCUUGUUCCAAGAAGAGCAUAAAACUUCCUGAAACGCGAUUUUUGCAUCCAUCCUUGCCCUCGGCUUUCAGAACAGGAGAAAUAAUUCCUCAGAAAUUAAAAUGGAAUUUCUCUGAAAAGCAAAAGGAAACAACGUCCUGAUAAAGUGUCAUUCUCUCUCCUCUCUCUCUGGCUGACCGCUUCUGUUCCCAGGAAUGGGAUGGAAACUAAGUCGAGAGACUUUUACCUCCUAACGCUUCCCCCUUCCCUUCCCAGUCAUCGCAGAAAGUGUUAAAAGCCACGUGGCGGGGGGGCGGGGGGAGGAGGGACUCUAAAGAUGCAUCACACGCACACACAGAAGGCUGGACCAGAAACAGGAAAAAGAACCCCAAGAACAAUCAGGCAGCAGAUGCAGAAAGCAAAGGAAGGUUUGUGCAGCUGACAGCUAAUGCUGAGGACCAGUUGGAAAAAUACACACUCCCAGGUCCCAGCUGAUGGAUGUGUGAGUAUGGUGCAACGGUGUGUGCCGGUAAUGUAAAGAGAGAGAGAGGCUUAAGGACAGGCAUGUUAGAGUAAAUGACACCGCCACGGAAGCUAGAACACGUUUAAUUACUUUUCAGACUUUUCAUGUUCAGUAAUAACACCUGGAUUUUGUGUUCUGUUACUCACGUGAUUGUAUGACUUGAGCUGGGUCAGUGCAAACAAAAAAGGUACAUUGGCUUUGGGUGACACAGUAGUGAACUGAGAUUUCAAAUUUCUUGGUCUGCUGCGUUGCCUUCUCCUUUGCCCAAGUUCCCAGAUUCUCAAAACUCUAGGAUUAAUUUUGGAGGGAUGAGAGAAGAAAACAUAUAUAAAUACUCAAAAAGAUUAAAAUCCAAUAGCAUGUAAAGUUAUAUCAAAGGCUGUUGGGUUGGCAACUGAAUGGGUUUAAAAUUAGUGAGUCAUUAGCUCUGCAGUGGUGUGACUAUAUGUGGGGAGGUACCUACAGGAAGGUGGCCCAUCAACACACAAUGUAGCCAAAGGUGUGCAAGCCCCUUGUCUAAUUCCACCACAGUACUGGUCCUCAACUCAGCCUUGAAAAUAAAAAGCUUUUAAUUGAAUCCUGAGAAAUAAAGAGCUUCUAAUUACCCACUUAAGGGUGCAUGAAAAUGUUACAUAAUGCUCACACAUCCUUCUAGCAUUGGAAUAAAAAGAAUAGUUUCUGAAAGGAACAAACUCAUAUUCUUACCUUGGAGAGAGCUCCCUAAGUCGAGAGCUAACAGCAAUGUGUAUUCAUAAGCCAUGGUGGUGGUUUAGUAGCUAAGUUGUGUCUGACUCUUGCAACCCCAUGGGCUGUAGCCCACCAGGCUCCUCUGCCUAUGGGAUUUUCCAGGCAAGAAUACUAGAGUGGGUUGCCAUUUCCUUCUCUAGGGGAUCUUCCCCAUCCAAGGACUGAAGAUGGGUCUCAGCUACUAGGGAAGCCCAACUUUUCUUUAUCCAAACAUGUAAAUUUGCUUUAGGCCCAAACUUGAUGAUCAGUGGGUGGAUGUGGGUGAAUUACUUGUUUCUGCAUCCCUGGCUUAGGAUUGUCAGCUUAGUUCUGCCAGUUGGGGAGCCUGAGAAGGGGAAAUGAGGGAAGGAGAGGGCUAGAAAGAGGGGGCUGGAGAUCUGUACCCUAAGUUCCGUGUAGGCGCCCAGAGAGCGCUAGUUACCCAAGUCUCUGCAAACCUGUGUCCCCUUCUGACUUUUUUCUGUUCUCACCGUCAAGGGUCAGUCUCAAAAUAGCCAAGGGGUUAGAGAAAGCAGAAUUUAAGGUGGCAGGAUUCUGAAUGCUGGGCCAUGCAGUGAAAUGUAGGGAAUGUGGGGAAGGCCACUUUCUAUCGGGCGCCAUCUUUCUGGCAAGUGGUGUUACCGGAAUAUUGUGUGCCAAUUUCAAGGGCCCCUGAAGGGCAAAGGGAUUGCAUUUCUGUGAGUGAUAAGGCCUGAACUUGGCUGCAGAGAUUCAGUGCAGAAGCCUGGAUGCCACUAGCAUUACCAUAUGUACCAAUACACACAUAUUGGUAUAUGUAUAUAUGUAUAUGUGUUAGUCCUUCAGUCGUGUCUGACUCUUUGCGACCCCAUGGAUUAUGUAACCUACCAGGCUCCUUUGUCCAUGGGAUUCUCCAGGCAAGAAUACUGGAGUGGGUUGCCAUUCCCUUCCAGGGGAUCUUCCUGACCCAGGGGAUCUUCCUGAGCCAGGGUCUCCUGUAUUGCAGGCAGAUUCUUUACCAUCUGAGCCACCAGGGAAGCUCACCAACACACCAGAAAUAUCAGGACAUGAGAUGUGAAUUGGUGAAAAACUCUCCUGAAUUUUUUCCCCUGCUUACUUAGAGACAAAUCAAGUUUCCUUGAAUUUCUGGAUAAUAAAUGCAUUAAAUCACAAAUAUCCAAAAUCAGAAAGUUAUUUUGAUAGGAAUUCCAGUGUAGGGCUGCAGGAAUAAAGGGAUUCCUGGGGUUCUUGAGGUUGUCCUUCAGUUGUACUGAUGGAAACAUUUGAAAGAGUUCGCUUUCUUUUAAAAUAAAAUAUUCUCGGAUUUCCUUUGAUCCCUACACUUCAUGACACUUUUUAAAAAAAAAUUUUGAGCUGACAUCUUUUUUUGGCCUUAGAUAAGGAUACAGGACUUCCCUCAUAGCUCAGUCAGUAAAGAAUCUGCCUGUAAUGCAGGAGACCUGGGUUCGAUUCCUGGGUCAGGAAGACCCCUGGAGAAGGAAAUGGCAACCCACUCCAGUAUUCUUGCCUGGAGAAUCUCAUGGACAGAGGAGCCCGGCAGGCUACAGUCCAUGGGGUUGCAAGAGUUGGACACAACUUAGUGACUAAAGAGAGAGAGAGAAGGAUAUAAGAUUAAGAAGAAAACCCAUCCACUUAUCCAGGUAUUACUGCUGCUGCUGCUGCUAAGUUGCUUCAAUCAUGUCCGGCUCUGUGCGACCCCAUAGACGGCAGCCCACCAGGCUCCCCCGUCCCUGGGGUUCUCCAGGCAAGAACACUAAAGUGGGUUGCCAUUUCCUUCUCCAGUGCAUGAAAGUGAAAAGUGAAAGAGAAGUCACUCAGUCGUGUCCGACUCUUAGCGACCCCAUGGACUGCAGCCUACAAGGCUCCUCCGUCCAUGGUAUUAGAUGUUGCAAAUUUAAAAUGAGGAACUCCUCCAUUUCCCCAUUCCCUACUCCCAACUGUUAAAACGAUUCAGUUCUUGAGAACCCACAGAUUUGAUGAUACUUUAGAAAGGAACAAAGCUGCAACACUAUAUGCUAAUCACCACAUUGAAAACGAGUGGGCUUCUUCCUCAGUAUUUCUUGCUCUCACCUCUCCCAUUCCCAUCCCACUGCCUGCCUCUCACUCCUGAGCUUGGUUUGGGUUCUUCUUGAUCUCCCCGCCUCCAGUCCUCCCCAGUCCAUUUAAUCUAGAGUGAAAGUGAAAAAGUCGCUCAGUCGUGUCCAGCUCUUUUCAACCCCAUGGACUGUACAGUCCAUGGAAUUCUCCAGGCCAGAAUACUGGAGUGGGUAGCCUUUCCCUUCUCCAGGGGAUCUUCCCAACCCAGGGAUCAAACCCAGGUCUCCUACAUUGCAGGCAGAUUCUUUACCAGCUGAGCCACAAGGGAAGCCCAAGAAUCCUGGAAUGGGUAGCUGAUCCCUUCUCCAGCGGAUCUUCCUGACCCAGGAGUUGGACCGGAGUCUCCUGCAUUGCAGGCAGAUUUUUCACCAACUGAGCUAGAUUAAGGAAAGCCCUUAAUCUAGCAUACCACAACCAAAUUAAUUUUUCUAAAGUGCUACUUUGACCAAGAUGCUUCUCUGUUCAGAGACCUCAGCUCCUCAACAUGGCCUUCAACGCCCUCCACAGUCCAGUUCCAAAGAGCCUUUCCAGCAGUUUCAUACUAGAACUCUCCGUGUCACCCUAGCUUGCAGUUCUGUAAGUUAGUUUUUGAAUUUAUACUCUUUUCUGUUUUUGUCAUCUGUACUCUUUCUCACUGGAAUCUUUCCACCAUGAAUCCCCUCCUCCAUCUCUGUCUUAUUGGAUUCAGCUUUCAAGAUCUGGCUGAUAUAUUUUUUACAUGACAGUCAUCCCUGCCCACUGUUGCUAGAAAUGAUCUCUCCUUCCUCUACUUUUAGUAGUUACUUUGCUAAUUGCAUUUCAAGUGUUAAUUAAAAGUAUGUUGCCUUUUGAUGUCUCUUAUAUUGUGAUUUAAUUUUUAUAACUUUAAAAUUUUUCUCUUUUCUUCUCAUAUGGAUUGUAAGCCCACUGAGAGUGAAAGCCAUCUUUAUAUUUUCCAUGUUUACUAAUAUUACUUAACAUUAAUUAGCAUUAAGCUUUGAUUCAUAGAGAUUUACUGUUUAAUUUAUUUAAAUAUUUUCAUAUUUACUAGUAUGAGAAAUAAGUGUUUUUGGAGUUAUGAUCCUUCCUCAUGCUUUGAGUUUAGAGUAGUAAUUCAUGCCCCUAUAGAUGGUUGGAUGGCAUCACUGACUCAAUGGAUAUGAUUUGAGCAAACUCCAGGAGAUAGUGAAGGACAGGGAAGCCUGGAGUGCUUUAGUCCAUGGGAUCGCAAAGAGUUGGACAUGACUUAGUGACUGAACAACAACAAAUACCCUAGUCGAUAUCUUCAUAUAAAUGUUUCAAAAAUAAGCUUUACGAAUAUAAGGUAGGCUAAUGAGAUAAGUUUAUAUCAUGUGCUGUGCUGUGCUUAGUCGCUCAGUCAUAUUCGACUAACUUUGGGACACCAUGGACUGCAGCUUGCUAGGCUUCUCUGUCCAUGGAGAUUCUCCAGGCAAGAAUACUGGAGUGGGUUGCCAUGCCUUCCUCCAGGGGAUCUUCCCAACCCAGGAAUCGAACCCAGGUCUCCCACAUUGCAGGCAGAUUCUUUACCAUCUGAGCCACCAGCGAAGCCCAAAUUUAUACCAUACUUAGUAAUAAAUAAAGUGGGGCGGACAUAGCUUAAGAGUUUUUCCAAAGGAAUCAUAGAAGUCCAUAUAGUAAAAACGCUACCUAAUCUUUAUAAACAUUCAUGGUAAAUUACCUUUUCCCUUCAUUUAUGACAUUCUGUAUCCAGGCAUUUCAAGCUAGUGACUUGAAUCUGGAUUCAAAUUCUAGUUCAGAUUAAAAGUCUGUAUAGCAGUGACUAACGAGUGUCCCACCCAACCAUGGUUAUAAGUCACAAGCUUGGUGAAGACUUUUCUGUGUUUUAGUUGACUUUGCUGGAAAAUGAGAUUAAAAUAAUAGUGAGUAGCCUAACUGGGCAGUUUCUGGAAGGUUGGCCAGAAAGUCUGGGGGCAAUUUCCAAGUAAAUACCCAAGAAGUGUAUCGAAUCAGUUAAGUUAGCAUAAUUUGCCUUGAGGAUGAUAAUAGGUGGUAGAAAUCAUUGAUCAGAGCUCUAGUGGCUGUUUCUGAGAAAAGAUAUACAAGUUUUCACAUAAAGCAAUGUUACUGCUGAAACAUUCUCUUAGCACUAAGCAAAGAACAGUCUGUGCCUGUGGCUGGCUUAAGGUCAUAUACUGAUUUUGAAGCCACAGUUUACACAGGGACAAGCAGUUGCAUCCACUGUGAUAAGAAGAAGCACAGAAGACAGUGGUAUAAUCACAGCAAAGCAGGGACUACUUGGAGAAUUCAGAAGUUCUCCUCUCUCCCACUUCCUGCCUCUUUGCCUCUUCCCCUCUUCCUGGUAUGUCUAAAGAGUACACUGAACAGUGCAAGGGCCAAUAAUAAUAUUUUUCAAAAUUUGGGUGUAUUGGAAAGUGUUCAGACCUGCUAGGCAGAAGAUCCAAUUUUGUGUCUGGUGUCACUUUUAAGUUUGACCUUCAGUACUGGCUUCAUCUUUAAUAUGAACUCACUGUUUGCUCCCUCACAGGGUUACAAAUGGAUGAAAUGAGAUGAUGUAUGUGAAAGCUUCUUGGAAUCUCAUACAGCACUGUAUAUUUGUAAUACAUCAAAUGAUGUCUCAUCCCAUCAUCAUGAUAUUUCAGAUGAUGAAAGGUGUCAGGAUUUGCUUGUAUGAGAAGACUCAAUUCACUUAUAUAAGCUUCUCUAUAUCAACUGACUCCUUUCUUUCUCCCACUAGAUAUUAAUACAACCCAGAGGCUUGGUUGGUUUGUGCCCAACUCUUUUCAACCCCAUGGACUGUAGCCCACCAGGCUCCUCUGUCCAUGGAAUUUCCCAGGCAAGAGUACUGGGGUGGGUUGCCGUAUCCUACUCCAGGGGAUCUUUCCAGCCCAGGGGAUUGGACCCGCAUCUUGCGUCUUCUGCAUUGCAGAUGGAUUCUUUACCACUGCGUCACCUGGGAAGCCCCAGAGGCUCAGUAACAGUAAGCAAUUUUUAAAUGCCUUUACCUUUGGGAAAUCACCUUUAAAAAAAAGUCUUCCCCCCAUUUUGGUGCCCUUUCUUAUUAGAUGCAUGCAUACAUGUAAGCUAAGUCACUUCUGUCGUGUCCAACUCUGUGUGACCCCAUGGACUGUUAGCCCACUAGGUUCCUCUGUUGGUAGGAUUCUCUAGGCAAGAAUACUGGGAUGGGUUGCCGUGUCCUCCUCCAGGGGAUCUUCCUGACCCAGGGAUUGAACCAGAGUCUCCUUCACUGGCAGGUGAGUUCUUCACCACCAGCACCACCUGGGAAGCCCCUCCUUAGUAGGUACACUACUCCUAAAAAAGUAUUUGUUUAUGUGAUUCUUUGACAUGAAUUCCUUUAAAGGAUUUCAGUGGUGAAAUAUUAGCAACAGUGAAAGAAUUUUUUUUCCUCAAGUAGUGCCAGUAAAUAGUAGCUUUUUUAAAAAGGAAGGUAAUUCAAUGUAAAGUUUCGCCAACUUUCAUAACUUCUGUUCUUAUUCAGCUGUAAGAUCUUACCUUGAAGUGCUGGCGGUGAUGAGAGUGUUAUCCGUAUACAUGAAAGCAUUUGGCUAAGAGCUGUACUUCAGUUUGCCCAAGUCUAGAGCUUGUAAUGAUAACAAGCUAUGCUAAUUGUUGAAAACUCUAGGUUUUAUUUUAACAGAGUCUUAUUGUGCUCCUGAUAAAAUGAUUAUGUUGUAAACGCUGAGAAAUCUGUAGCAACAAGAAUCCCCUAAGCCCUGAUUUUAAGUUUCUAAAGGGUAGAAAUGAUACCUUUUAAGCACGUUAACUCCCAUUUAUUUGGGUCAUGUGAUGAUAGCUGGUAUUUUGUAAAUUCCUGUGCAAUAAAGGAAACAGUUAAAGUUUAUGUGGUGGUCAAGCUCAGUCGUGUUAGACUCUUGGCGACCCCAUGGACUGUAACCCCCAGGAUCCCCUGUCCCUGGGAUGUUCCAGGCAAGAAUACUGCAGUAGGUUGCCACUUACUUCUCCAGGGGACCUUCCCCACCCAGGGAUUGAACCUGCAUCUCCUGUAUUGGCAGGCGGAUUCUUUACCACUGAACUUUUAGGGAAGCCCCAAAUACACCAGGCUUCCCUGGUGGCUCAGACGGUAAAGAAACCACCUGCAAUGCGAGAGACCUGGGUUGGAUCCCUGGGUUGGGAAGAUCCCCUGGAGGAGGGCAUGGCAACCCACUCCAGUAUUCUUGCCUGGAGAAUCCCCAUGGACAGAGGAGCCUAGCAAACUGCAGUCCAUGGGGUCGCAAAGAGUUGGACACGACUGAGCAACUAAGCACAGCACACAGCACACUCUCUAAAAUAAAAGAAGACAUUGUGUUUUCCGUUCACCCAAGGAAGAUGGAUCUGGGCCAUCCAACUGCAUGGAACUGCCAACGGGAACCAAUGAAAGAAACAGGUUGCCAUGCCUUUGGGUAGCAGACGAAAUCAUUUACCUUGCUUCCUUUUCACUCACUACUUUGAGUAGACCAAACAGGUAUCAUUUUCCAUACAUUUUUCCUCUUCUUUGUAUUGGAUAUAUAUUUUUGUAGGUAACUGACAUUAUUUACUUACUAUAUAAAUGCUUAUCCAGAUCCAUUCAAUAAAUAGAGGCAAGGCAAGUCCUUUGGCUUGGAAGGGUAGAGUUCCACACUAGCUGGACACUAUUGCUGCUACUUUAAAUUUUUUGAUUUAUUUAUGGCUGUGCUGGGUCUUUGUUGUUGGAUGCAGGCUUUCUCCAAUUGCAGCGAGUGAGGGGGGCUUCUCUUCGUUUGGUACAUGGGCUUCUCAUUGUGGGGGCUUCUCUUGUUGAGGAGCACAGGUUCUAGGCACAUGGGCUUUGUUGUCCUGUGGCAUGUGGGAUCAAUCCUUCCAGACCAGGGAUCGAACCUGUGUCCCCUGCACUGGCAGGCGGAUUCUUAACCACUGGACCACCAGGGAAGUCCCGCUACUUUAGUUUUGAUAACCACUGCGGUCAGGGUUUGAAAAUAAAUAUCAAACCUUCGACGUGACAUUUAUUUUCCACAAUGUCCCAUCUUUGCAGCUCCUUGAAUAAUACCUGUUAGAAAUCUUUAUCCCAUGAUAACUUUCUGUUUCUAGAGCUUUAUCCCUUAAUUAAAUGUUAAGGGGGCAAUGACCUUCUUUGUAGAUGUCUUCUAAAUAUAAAUUACUUUUCACACUGGUGAGAAAUGGUUGAGUUUUUCCCUUCCUGUUUUAAUAUGAAGACAUUGAAACAGAAGGAGAGGCAUGCUUAAGCUUUAAAGGAAAGGGAGUUUUUUAUUUUCCUGUCUCCUGAGCUAAUCUUUAAUUACCAGAGCCUUUAUCCUUCACAGAUUAUGACCCACCUAUUACUACUUGUCAGUGUAAUUAAAUUGCAUGAUCUAUUUGGGUGCCUGGAGCAAGUCAUAGAGUAGUUUUCUAAAUAAAUAAGAGAUUCCAUCAUGGUAUGUUUAUUUGUAUUUUUCACUCAGUUUAAAUAUAAUAGAUCUGAAAGAAUAGUCAUAUUUAUCCACACAAAUUAAAGUUGCUUUGUUGCAUUUCAAUGUGGAUUUGUGAAAGUGCCACAUGAAUACUAACUCUGAAGACAAAAACAAAAAACCGAAAAUCCAAAAAGCAAAGCAAAGCAAUUAAGUGAUUUGGUUUUUUGUUUUAAGUCUGUAACUAGUGAAAAAAAAAUUCACAGGAGACUCUUAUUGAGACUCAAAGGCCCCAGACUUGUGAUAACCUUGGGGAUUUUAUUGAAAAGUCAAAAUGAAGCUGUUUGGGAGCUUGGAACAGAAAAUUAAAAAGCAAGCUCUCCUUGUUGGGUCAUUUCCUCGCACUAAUACCUUUUCCAAACCAGGUAGCUAUGUCAUGGGCAUGUUGAAUAUUUAGGCUCUCGGAAAAGCCUGGAAAAUGCACCAAAAUGGUAUUGACAUUUUAGUCCUGAAAAUUUAUUUUUUUCUUAUUCUGGAAAUAUCUAAAGUGAUGAUUUUACUCCAACUUGUCACUGUUUCCAUCCCACUCCUUACCUUUCCUCCUUCUGCUGCCAGUCAACACUGUAGGCAUUUUGACAUCUCCCCCAUUACUAAUUAAUGGAGAUUAUGUACAUUUUCAUAGAUCUCUCCUGAGGAUAAUAAUCUUGGUUUAAAAAAUUCCCGCACAUGCAUACUGGUAUGUAUAGUUUUCAUAAGUUCUUACCUGGAGUUGACUUAGACUAGUAAUUUAUUAAGCAAGCUAAAAAUCCGCAUUUCACCUCACAGAAAAUAAUCAGUGUGUUAUAGCAUAACCAGUCUUGAUGGGAGAUUUUGAAACUAUCCCUGGCUUAUGCAUUUUUGUUUUGCAGCCUUUUUAUUACAUAAUUUCAAAUUGUGGCAUUUUAGCAAGAUGAGACUAAUUUUUGAAAUUAGUUGUGACGUUUACCUCUCUCUGUAUACCGUCAUGAUUAAGCAUGCAGCCUGUGGAAUCACACUGCCUGAGUUAAAAUUCAGGUUUUUGCCGGUUAGUAGCUGGAUAAAUUAUCUGAACAUCUUAGGCCUCUAUUUCGUCAUCUGUUAAGUGGGAAUAAUAAUAAUUGUACCUACCUCUAAGGUGUUUGGAGGGUUUGAUAAGACACACAAAGCCUUUGGUAUAGUGCUUGGCUCAUUGUUAAGUACUUAAUAAAUGUUACUUUUUCUUUUUUUUCCAUUCUCCCGCUCCCUCCUGCCCCCACUGCCACCAAUGAGAAAGAUCGUGGCAGAAAAAUCCUCAUUCUGCCCAAAACCAAGGGUGACAAAAGAGACGGCAUCUAGUCCAUGGAAAUUGAAUAACUGCAUUUUCCUUUUAAGUGAGAGGAUGCAGUAAAGAAUCUAAUUUGAGCUGAAUGAGAACUGGAUGCCCAAGUAGGAAAUUCUGAGAAUCCUUCUAACAUAGCACUGCGUUCUCCAUGCAGUGAUGCCAACUCCUCCUUACAGUGCAUCUGCUCUGUGUGUGCUACAGUAAAAGAGCACCUUAAUGAUCAGCCAAAGACUGGAUUUCAGGAUUGUCCAUUGAAACAAAUACAACCAUUGUAUAUGUGCUGUGCUUAGUAGCUUCAGUCGUGUCCAAUGCUUUUCGACCUCAUGAACUGCAGCCCUCCAGGCUUCUCUGUCUAUGGGGAUUCUCCAGGCAAGAAUACUAGAGUGGGUUGCCAUGCUCUCCUCCAGGGGUUCUUCCCAGCCCAGGGGUUGAACCCAGGUCUCCCACAUUGCUGGUGAAUUCUUUACCAUCUGAGCUACCAGGGAAACCCCAAAUUCAAUAAUUUAAUUCUAUGCAUUGCUCUCCCCACCCCCACUCAAAAUUGCAUCCCAUUUCUAAAAGUCAUGUGUGGACAGCUGAACAUCCUUUGGGCCUGAGCACUACUUAAAAGCAGGAAGAGGACUCUACUAAGCCAAUUCACCACAUUUAGAGACCAGCGACAUUUCUCUCAUAUGCCUAUUAUUUGGAGAAAUGAUUCAAGCUCAGGUAGCCGGUCAGCUGGUUCCCUACCAGUCACUGCAACCUCCUGUUGCACGCUCAUCAGCAGACCUGGCAUAAAGCGUCCCAGCUGGGGUCAUGUGGCUAGGAGAAGAAGGAAGACACAGCUACCCCAAAGAGACACCCCGUCCAGGUCUACAGGACAAGGAGGCAUUUUGUGACCAGUGGAAGACACAAAUGUCUCCCGUCUCCUUCUUUGUAUACGUGAUGGUGAAAACAGGAGAAAACGCACAGACCAGAAGACAUCCAGACAGUGGGCUGUUCUCACUGACGACGUUUGUGCCGCAUUCCUCCUCGCCCCUGGAGUGCAUUGCGACACUCAGACUGGUGGUUCUGGGAGCCAAGCAGCUGAUGGGGGAGCCUCAGGAGGCAGCAGAGACAAAUUAAUCUUCAGAUCCACCAUUUCCCCUGAAACACACCACUUGCUAAACUGAAUUUCAAGCCAAGAGCAGCAAUUUUCCACAGCCCAAGUCUGGAAAAGUCUGUGAAACCACAUUGGGUCCGAAAACCAAAGUUGGUUUUUGCUGUUUUUCGUGGAGCACCAGAGAGACAACUCCAGAAUUCCAGAUGUGAGGCAGCUGGAUGGACGUGUGUGUCCAGGCAUCUGCACAGCAGCUUCAGAAAGGCGACCACGGACAGCUGCGAAAAACCACCACUGACAACCUUCUUUCUCUUUUCUUACCUGAACCUCUGGACUUACUUGUCUGAAAAGAAAGAGGGAAGAAAAAAAAAAAGCUGGCACUCAUUGUUUUGUUUUCUCAAUUUUCUUGUCAACUGACUCAUGAUAAAAGAAUGUCCUUUUCAAUCAAUUUCAAUUCUGCAGAACAGAAAAAUAGAGAAUUUAUAGGCAACUAUUGGAAACAAAGGAACCAUCUGUUUUUUUAAGUAUAAUUUUUCUCUGCAAUAGUCCUCUCCAAACACUUGGAUCAUUUAUUUUCCCUCACCGCACCACUUUUAGUGAACCAGAGAACCCCAUUGUCCAACCCAGGCUCUUGGUCUCCUGCUCUGCUGCUGGAUCCCUUGUGUUCCCCAGAACUGGUCUUAUCGCUCCUAGCUUCUCUCCCAUGACUCCUGUUUCCAGCCCAGCCUCUCCCUCCUUUGGCUCCCCUGAAAUCUUCCUGUCGCACUCACUUUAUUUUGUCUCAGAGUUUUAGUCCCCCUUUCCAGGAAGACUAUGGCUGGGGGCGGUGGGGCGGGAGGGUGCGGGGAGGAGCCCUCCUCCCGUGACCAAAAGGCCCAUCAAACUCAUGAGGGUAUUUCCACCCUCAUGGAUGAAAGAAAGAAGAAAUAGUGAACAGCACAGCGGACUGUGGGGGCUCUCCUAUAAAGGCCUGACCAGGAAUUUGGGUAUUGGCCAAAUUAGAAGUAGGUUGAGGUGGCCUCAACCAAGCCCUUGCCUGGCUCCCGUGGAAUUAGCUGCAUGGGAGACCACUGGUCUUUAUUCUACAUUUAAAACUUCUAUAUACCUUACGUUCAUUUCUUCUAAAACUGUCUGCUAGGCUUUCGUUUCUAUUUUAAAAAGGCAUGAAAAUAAAAUCACUGGUUAGUGAUGAAGAAGCCACCCAAAUCUUCCGUUCUAAAAGGAAAAAAAUAAGGCAGAUCAGAGAAAUACACCUCCAAGUAUACACAGCUUUUGUCUCUAAACAAAACAGUGAAAUUAUGAGUUAUUUUAUUGUCUUAUUGGGUUUUUUGCAAGUUUUCUAUGAUAAACAUGAAUUAUUUUAUAAUAUAAAGAUGAAAGCUACAGAAUUAUUAUAAGAAAGAUUUGCUCCUUAAAAAAAACAACAACUGUACGUGCAUCCAAUAACCAUUUUUACACAGUUCAUCACAACUAACAACCACACUAACUGGGUUUUUCUCUUUUUAAUCAUUUGUAGUCCCAGUAUGAAAUUUAUCUGUUUCAAAGUCUCAAAUAUGGGAAUAAAUAGCUGCUAUGCCUAGAGCCUUCUAUGAAUAUAUGAGAUGAACUUUGCUUUUGUAAACAGCAUCCGAUGAAGGGAAAAGUCAGUUAUCUGACAUUGAGAGCUGUGGUCCCUUAACCACCCAGGCAGAACCUUCUCUUUUUAGCACUUCCUUUUUAGCUGGUUGAAAGUCACAACUUUUGCCAUCACUGUUACCACUACUACACCAUCACCAUCACCAUUGUUACCAUCAUCACCGUUAUCCUUUCCUUAACUGAGUACCUACUGUGUGCCAGGCUAGAUACCUGAUAUGUUACAUACACAGUCUUGUAUGAAGGUGAAUUCUCAUUCAGACUCUAUAAAGUAAGAAUCCUGUCCCCUCCUUAUAGCUGAGGAAAUAGGCUCAGAGAAAUUAAGUUGCUUACCUGAUCAUUCAUGACCAAUCCAGCAUGAACUAUAGUGAUUUUUAAAAAUUACAUAAAUAUUUUACUUGAAUAAUAAAAUAGAUAUUACAAAGAUUUCUCUUUUUAUUUUUUAAAUUAUGAAAUAUGAGAACACAUUUACAGGUGACUUGG
ensembl:lncRNA